GUGAAAUUGUUGAAAGGGAAACGAUUGAAGCCAGUAGGACCAUGGAGAGUUCAGCGAUACCUAUCGAGUAUUGUUGCGAUGAGAGUGCUUAAUUGUACCUCUAGCAGUGUGCGCAAAUAGACUAUCGUGCAUUCUUUCCAUGGUUAGUCAGUGACAAUUCGAGUUGCCGGAAAAGGACGUGGGGAAGGUGGCCAUUGCUUCGGCAUUGGCUUUAUAGACCCUCGUAGAUACGGCAGUUUGGAUUGGAAUCGGCAACAGCUAAUCGGUGCGUCAUAUCUGCGGUUGUGGACACUUGAGAAUCAGUAGAGUCUCAGGUGGCAUCUAUCUGGGAAACGAUGUUCAGAAUGCUGCGGUGACUACUGACGAAAUGGCUUUAAACGACCCGUCUUGAAACACGGACCAAGGAGUCUAACAUAUAUGCGAGUAUUUGGGUGGCAAACCCGAGUGCGAAAUGAAAGUGAGUACAAAUGGGAUCCCUUUUUUGGGCGCACCAUUGACCGAUCUUGAUAUCUCUUGAUAGAUUUGAGUUAGAGCAUAUCUGUUGGGACCCGAAAGAUGGUGAACUAUGCCUGGAUAGGAUGAAGCCAGAGGAAACUCUGGUGGAGGUCCGAAGCCGUUCUGACGUGCAAAUCGAUGGUCAAAUCUGGGUAUAGGGGCGAAAGACUAAUCGAACCAUCUAGUAGCUGGUUCCCUCCGAAGUUUCCCUCAGG
rnacentral:rRNA from 1 species